rnacentral:misc_RNA from 1 species
GAUGAAGAACGUAGCGAAAUGCGAUAAGUAAUGUGGAUUGCAGAAUUCAGUGAAUCAUCGAAUCUUUGAACGCACCUUGCGCUCUUUGGUAUUCCGAAGAGCAUGCCUGUUUGAGUGUCAUGAAAAUAUCAACCUUGACUUGGGUUUUGUGCUCUAGUCUCGGCUUGGAAUUGGGUGCUUGCCGCUUUUACGAGCGGCUCACCUUAAAUGUAUUAGCUGGAUCUGUCUUUGAGACUUGGUUUGACUUGGCGUAAUAAGUAUUUCGCUAAGGACAUUCUUCGGAGUGGCCUCGUUUCUAGGACGCUUGUCCGCUUUCCAAUACAAGUUCCACCUCGUGGACAUGACUUUUUAUUAUCUGGCCUCAAAUCAGGUAGGACUACCCGCUGAACUUAAGCAUAUCAAUAAGCGGAGGA